rnacentral:tRNA from 1 species
GCGGAUAUGGUGAAAUUGGUAGACACGCAAGAUUUAGGUUCUUGUGCCGCGAGGCGUGGGGGUUCAAGUCCCUCUAUCCGCACCA